AUUGAACGCUGGCGGCAGGCCUAACACAUGCAAGUCGAGCGAGCGGCGGACGGGUGUGUAUUGUAUGGGGACUGCCCGAUAUGGAGGGGUAACUACUGGAAACGGUGUCUCAUACCCCAUAUUGUCUGAUUAUCCACAUGGGAUUAGCUAGUAGUUAUGGUAAUGGCUUACCAAGGCGACGAUCCCUCGCUGGUCUGAGAGGAUGAUCAGCCACACUGGGACGGAGACACGGCCCAGACUCCUACGGAGGCAGCAGUGGGGAAUAUUGCACAAUGGGCGCAAGCCUGAUGCAGCCAUGCCGCGUGUAUGAAGAAGGCCCUAGGGUUGUAAAGUACUUUCAGUCGGGAGGCGUUACCGACAGAAGAAGCACCGGCUAACUCCGUGCCAGCCGCCGCGGUAAUUC
rnacentral:rRNA from 1 species